CAUAUCAAUAAGCGGAGGAAAAGAAAAUAACAAUGAUUCCCCUAGUAACUGCGAGUGAAGAGGGACAAGCUCAAAUUUUAAAUCCAUCGGGUUUUACCCGAUCGAGUUGUAAUUUGAAGAGGCGUUUUCUGUGUAUUUGGUCAGCCUAAGUCCUAUUGAAUGAGGCAUCAUGGAGGGUGAUAAUCCCGUCCGGUUGAUCAUUUGCGUUUUACGAUACGCUUUCUAAGAGUCAAGUUGUUUGGGAUU
rnacentral:rRNA from 1 species